UAGAGUUUGAUCCUGGCUCAGGACGAACGCUGGCGGCGUGCUUAACACAUGCAAGUCGAGCGGAAAGGCCCUUCGGGGUACUCGAGCGGCGAACGGGUGAGUAACACGUGAGGAACCUGCCCUUGGCUCUGGGAUAGCUUCGGGAAACCGGAAUUAAUACUGGAUAUGACUGCGGCUCGCAUGGGCUGUGGUGGAAAGAUUUUUCGGCUAGGGAUGGUCUCGCGGCCUAUCAGCUUGUUGGUGGGGUAAUGGCCUACCAAGGCGACGACGGGUAGCCGGCCUGAGAGGGCGACCGGCCACACUGGGACUGAGACACGGCCCAAACUCCUACGGGAGGCAGCAGUAGGGAAUCUUCCGCAAUGGACGAAAGUCUGACGGAGCAACGCCGCGUGAGUGAUGAAGGUUCUCGGAUCGUAAAGCUCUGUUGCCAGGGAAGAACAGCCGGAAGAGUAACUGCUUUCGGAAUGACGGUACCUGAGAAGAAAGCCCCGGCUAACUACGUGCCAGCAGCCGCGGUAAUACGUAGGGGGCAAGCGUUGUCCGGAAUUAUUGGGCGUAAAGCGCGCGCAGGCGGCUUUGUAAGUUUGGUGUUUAAUCUCAGAGCUCAACUCUGAUUCGCAUCGAAAACUGCAAGGCUUGAGUACAGAAGAGGAAAGUGGAUUUCCACGUGUACCGGUGAAAUGCGUAGAUAUCGAAAGGAACACCAGUGGCAAAGGCGAGUCCCUUGACCGGGCCUGACGCUUAGGCACCAAAACCUGGGGAACAACCGGAUUAAAUCCCCGGUAAUCCCUACCGUAAGGGUGCGUAUUUUUGUAAAAGGAACAACCCCUUUUUUCCGUUACAACGCCUUAAUACCCCGCUGGGA
rnacentral:rRNA from 1 species